rnacentral:lncRNA from 1 species
AUAUGAAAUAUGAAAAAGAAAAAAAAUCCAAUCUUAAGAUUUAGGGCUCGCAGCUUAUGUGAAAAAUAUUGAUGGAUAUAAGUUGGAUGCUUGAUCAGAAAAAUACAAGUUUGUAGGUUAUCCCAAGGAGAGUAUAGGAUACUACUUCUAUAACCCUACUCAACAAAGGGUGUUUGUUGGUAGGCAUGCCAUUUUUUUAGAGAAAGAGUUUAUCCAAGGAGGAGGC